rnacentral:rRNA from 1 species
GGGGAAUAUUGGACAAUGGGGGCAACCCUGAUCCAGCGAUGCCGCGUGAGUGAAGAAGGCCUUCGGGUCGUAAAGCUCUUUAGGUUGGGAAGAAGUGUAUUAGGUUCAUAGCCUAGUAUGUUGACGGUACCGACAGAAUAAGCACCGGCAAACUCUGUGCCAGCAGCCGCGGUAAUACAGAGGGUGCAAGCGUUAAUCGGAGUUACUGGGCGUAAAGGGCGCGUAGGCGGUUAUAUGUGUGUGAUGUGAAAGCCCCGGGCUUAACCUGGGAAGUGCAUCGCAAACUGUAUAGCUAGAGUAUAUGAGAGGGUGGCGGAAUUUCCGGUGUAGCGGUGAAAUGCGUAGAGAUCGGAAGGAACGUCAAUGGCGAAGGCAGCCACCUGGCAUAAUACUGACGCUGAGGCGCGAAAGCGUGGGGAGCGAAC